CCUACGGGUGGCAGCAGUGAGGAAUAUUGGUCAAUGGACGAGAGUCUGAACCAGCCAAGUAGCGUGAAGGAUGACUGCCCUAUGGGUUGUAAACUUCUUUUAUAUGGGAAUAAAAUGUUCCACGUGUGGGAUUUUGUAUGUACCAUAUGAAUAAGGAUCGGCUAACUCCGUUCCAGCAGCCGCGGUAAUACGGAGGAUCCGAGCGUUAUCCGGAUUUAUUGGGUUUAAAGGGAGCGUAUGUGGAUUGUUAAGUCAGUUGUGAAAGUUUGCGGCUCAACCGUAAAAUUGCAGUUGAAACUGGCAGUCUUGAGUACAGUAGAGGUGGGCGGAAUUCGUGGUGUAGCGGUGAAAUGCUUAGAUAUCACGAAGAACUCCGAUUGCGAAGGCAGUUCACUGGACUGCAACUGACACUGAGGCUCGAAAGUGUGGGUAUCAAACAGGAUUAGAUACCCUUGUAGUC
rnacentral:rRNA from 1 species